AACGAUCAUGACCAACAAGGGACGCAGAUCACCACAUGUCUUACUCCAUGCACAGACCGCACACAGCAAGAUUGACAGGCCCAGAAAAGGGAAUUGAUUAAUUUGUGAUUCUCAGCUGCAUAGAAGGAAAAAAAGAAAAACAUCCGUCAACGAAAAAUACAGUAAAGCCCCAGAGGCCAAGUAAACUUGUCAUUCCCAAAGAUUUCUACAAUCCAUGGCACCUGAAACAUGAGCGAGGGAAAUGGCUGCGUCGCUGACAUUACCCAUCUAUUCUGCCUGGCAUCUUGACUAAUGGUGUUAGCGACUACUUGGGGAAAUGACAUUCCAUCUUAACAUUCUUGAGUUUGGCAGCAGAGGGUGUCGGGGAGUCAGAACAGUCUGAAAAAAAGAUGCAUCACCCACAGGCUCACAUGUCGGAGAAGUGAGGCAAAUCCUCAGCUGAGUCACAGUGAACAUAAAAAAGUUGGCCUUUUAAAGGACAGAGACUAGACAAAGUUGUGGGAUUUUCACCCUGCACUGGAUAAUCUCUCAUUACCAACUACUUUCUCACAAACUGAUUUUGGUAAUAACCAACACACGUUAUGUUAAGGCUGCAACUAACAGUUGUUUUCAAUAUUGAUAAAUCUGAUGAUUAUUUUCUUGAUUAAUCAAUUAUAAUCAUGUUUUUUAUAAAAUGUCAGAAAUUUAUGAACAAUGUCCAUCACAGUUUCCCAGAUCCCCAGGGGAAGCUUGAAGAUGUCCGAUUAGCAGUCCAAACCGAGAAAGAUAUUCAGUUUUCUACCCUUUUAGAAAUCAAAAAGUAACAAAUCCUCACAUUUUCAGCUUUCUGAAACCAGAUGAGCUCAAUAUUUUUCUGUUGAUCGAGUAAUUGAUCAAUUGUUUCUACUCUAUUUCACAGUACAGCAGUUUAUACAUUUCUUAUGUGAUAUUCACUAUGUAAUGUGUAGCUGCAUCACUUUUUUAACACCAAUCUAAACUGAGAUAAAAUC